GCUUAAAGCGGCCGUAGCUGGCUGUUCAAGUCCCCCUGUUAAAUCCAGCGAUUUAAUCGUUGGUUUGCGGGGGAUACUGUUCGGCUAGGGGACGGGAGAGGCAGACGGUAUUUUCGGGGUAGGGGUGAAAUCCUAUAAUCCCGGGAAGACCACCAGUGGCGAAGGCUGUCUGCUAGAACGCGCCCGACGGUGAAGGAUGAAAGCUGGGGGAGCGAACCGGAUUAGAUACCCGGGUAGUCCCAGCUGUAAACUAUGCAGGCUAGGUGUUUGGGCGGCUACGUGCCGCUCUAGUGCCGCAGGGAAGCUGUUAAGCCUGCCGCCUGGGGAGUACGGUCGCAAGAUUGAAACUUAAAGGAAUUGGCGGGGGAGCACCACAAGGGGUGAAGCUUGCGGUUUAAUUGGAGUCAACGCCGGAAAUCUCACCGGGGGCGACAGCAGUAUGAUGGCCAGAUUAAAGGUCUUGCCAGACGAGCUGAGAGGAGGUGCAUGGCCGUCGCCAGUUCGUGCCGUGAGGUGUCCUGUUAAGUCAGGCAACGAUCGAGACCCGCGUCCUCUGUUGCUACUGGUUUUGUGCUAGGCACACUGAGGAGACCGCCGCUGAUAAAGCGGAGGAAGGAGCGGGCCACGGCAGGUCAGUAUGCCCCGAAUCUCCCGGGCCACACGCGAGCUGCAAUGGCAGGUACAGUGGGUUCCGACCUCGAAAGGGGGAGGUAAUCUCGAAAGCCUGCCGUAGUUGGGAUCGUGGGUUGAAACUCACCCUCGUGAACAUGGAAUCCCUAGUAAUCGCGUGUCACUAGCGCGCGGUGAAUACGUCCCUGCUCCUUGCACACACCCCCCGUAAGGG
rnacentral:rRNA from 1 species